rnacentral:rRNA from 1 species
CGCGUGGGAACGUGCCCUUUGCUCUGGAAUAGCCCUGGGAAACCGGGGGUAAUACCGGAUGUGCCCUGAGGGGGAAAGGCUUCGGCCGGCAAGGGAUCGGCCCGCGUCUGAUUAGGUAGUUGGUGUGGUAACGGCGCACCAAGCCGACGAUCGGUAGCUGGUUUGAGAGGAUGAUCAGCAACACUGGGACUGAGACACGGCCCAGACUCCUACGGGAGGCAGCAGUGGGGAAUCUUAGACAAUGGGCGCAAGCCUGAUCUAGCCAUGCCGCGUGGGUGAUGAAGGCCUUAGGGUCGUAAA